rnacentral:rRNA from 1 species
CCUACGGGUGGCAGCAGUGAGGAAUAUUGGUCAAUGGGCGCGAGCCUGAACCAGCCAAGUAGCGUGAGGGAUGACGGUCCUAUGGAUUGUAAACCUCUUUUGUCAGGGAGCAAAGGGCGCCACGUGUGGCGCUUGGCGAGUACCCGAAGAAAAAGCAUCGGCUAACUCCGUGCCAGCAGCCGCGGUAAUACGGAGGAUGCGAGCGUUAUCCGGAUUUAUUGGGUUUAAAGGGUGCGCAGGCGGAAUGUCAAGUCAGCGGUAAAAUUGCGAGGCUAAACCCCGUCGUGCCGUUGAAACUGGAGUUCUUGAGUGAGCGAGAGGUAUGCGGAAUGCGUGGUGUAGCGGUGAAAUGCAUAGAUAUGACGCAGAACACCGAUUGCGAAGGCAGCAUACCGGCGCUCAACUGACGCUCAUGCACGAAAGCGUGGGUAUCGAACAGGAUUAGAUACCCUUGUAGUC